GACAGAGGUGGCGAGCGUUGUUCGGAUUUAUUGGGCGUAAAGAGCGUGUAGGCGGCCAGGUAGGUCUGGUGUGAAAACUCGAGGCUUAACCUCGAGAUGUCAUCGGAAACCAUCUGGCUAGAGUCCGGAAGAGGAGAGUGGAAUUCCUGGUGUAGCGGUGAAAUGCGCAGAUAUCAGGAAGAACACCAAUGGCGAAAGCAACUCUCUGGGACGGUACUGACGCUGAGACGCGAAAGCGUGGGGAGCGAACAGG
rnacentral:rRNA from 1 species